CACACACAUCAUGCUGGAACUGCUGGAUAGUGUUGUGUGGAUCGGUCAUUAUAUUUAAUACAAUUUCCUCUCCGCCACACCUGCACGCGUGGGAGAAAGGACCGUGGUGAAGUUAGUUUAAAGUUGGACGUCCGAUAGAUACCAACGUCAAGCUAACUUCACCACGGUACAAAGCGCCGUUCCUCCACCAAAUAAUUACGGUAAAGUGUGGAAUUUGCGAAACAUUGAUUGAGUAUUGAUCACGGCAUUGAACAACUGCUUUAUAUACAUCUCUAAAAUCAGGGACAUUUUAGUUAUUUAAAAGAUGCAUAUAGACUUUGUAUGGUUAAAUCAUUGUAUCUGUUGUUUUAUAUAGCCUACUGCAGUAUAUAAAUUGCAAAUAUCUACAUUAAAAUCCAACGUCGUUCUUCAUUGUUUGUGUAUCCCAGGUAUCUGGUACAUCUUCUUAAAUAUCAACAUAAAAAACCCAACAUGUCCCAGCUUCUUCCACUACUACUACUACCUAUAACCACUAACAGGGCAUGAAGGAAAUGAUCAGAGUAAUAAGAGGAACGAGGAAAUGUUCACAUUUGAAUAUUACAGCUGUUUUAUUGCCAUAAUCCUGUUCCACGACUGCCAAAAAAUCCAGAGCAGGUGAUUUUCAAUAAUGAGAGUAUUCUAGCAGUUAGCCAUUUGUCUAAGAGUGAUAGUAAAAUAAAUAAAUAAAUAAUGACAUUGAUUGUAAAGCACAGUUUGACUAAAGCCUGUCAAUAAGAAAGGAGGCGCAUCUUGAAGGAAACUUUCUCAGAUGAAACAAAGUCCAUUAUGUGAAAGGUGAAAGGGGAGAGGAAGGGAGAGGUGGAGGCGGAAACAAAUCCGGAAACGGAUGAUGCAUGGAUGUGAGGAAUGCUGCUGGUCAUACAGUGACCUAAUGAAUUAUGACGAGUGCAUCCAGCAAAGAAUCUCGGACCUAACUGACAAAGGGAAAAGACGUCUAAAUGGAAGCUGCCGUCUCUCCCGGCCCGAGCAAGCAGCUCCUCGGCAGCAGCUCGACUCAGGUCCCGGUGAUACCACAUCGGCGGUGCGGGCCCCAACGGAGAAACCCCACCACCUCCUCCACCACCCCCGGCCAUGACCACAGCCCUUCAAACCGGGUUUAACUCAAGCUGCUUCCAGACUUCUCCGAAAACCUCCCAGCCCUCCUCCUCCAGACUACAGAAAUAAUCCAGUGAGUCGAGAGCCGAAAGACAAAGUAACUCGGCGUAAACGUUAUUCCGACGGAGGCUAGGAGGCGCGAGAGAACCGACGACGGGGCUACAAGUUUUACAUUUGUUAAAUUACGCUGCUUGUGGCAGUUUCCUCAGUUCCUGAAAGGCUCGUCACCCUCCUCUUUCGCUUCCCAGUCCCACGGAAAUCAGGGUAUGUAAAUCCACUCCGGAGACCGGGGAGCAACAGCGGGGAAGACCCGCGUCAAAGGCCGAGUGUCGCUAUAUACGACUUCCUGCUGGGCGUUUCAAAAUAAAACAGGCUGAUGAUAAAUUCA